UAAUAGUUUCUCUGAUGGCAUCUACAGAAUUUCUUAUAUCUUGAAAACCCUUAGUAAUCCCUAUUUCUAUGCCUUUGGAAAACCGUCAAUGAUACACUCCUGUUAUGACUUGUUUGACCAAUUAGGGAUUUCAUAUAGAUAGUAAAUUGUAUUGUACGUGUGUAUUUGAUUUUGUACGGUGACCACAUGUGCAGAAUAUUAUGGAAGAAAUUGAUCACUUUCGUUGCGUUUCCCAGGUAUGGCAUGAAAUACAAAUGUGGAGAGAAAUUACUUCAGCAACAGACCAGAAACACUAUAUCAAUCUAUCAGAGAGAUUGUUCAGUGGAGAAAUGGAGAAAUUUCUAAGAACAACAUGCAGAAGCUUCCUGUUCCUAUAACCGAACCUUGAAGAACUCCAAUCCCAAUCGGCCAGAUCAGAAUAAAAUGCUGGGUGAAUUUGAGGAAUUGAAAUUGACCGUUUGCAGCAGUGACAUUGAAA